rnacentral:rRNA from 1 species
GAUGAACGCUGGCGGCGUGCCUAAUACAUGCAAGUCGAGCGAACGGACGAGAAGCUUGCUUCUCUGAUGUUAGCGGCGGACGGGUGAGUAACACGUGGAUAACCUACCUAUAAGACUGGGAUAACUUCGGGAAACCGGAGCUAAUACCGGAUAAUAUUUUGAACCGCAUGGUUCAAAAGUGAAAGACGGUCUUGCUGUCACUUAUAGAUGGAUCCGCGCUGCAUUAGCUAGUUGGUAAGGUAACGGCUUACCAAGGCAACGAUGCAUAGCCGACCUGAGAGGGUGAUCGGCCACACUGGAACUGAGACACGGUCCAGACUCCUACGGGAGGCAGCAGUAGGGAAUCUUCCGCAAUGGGCGAAAGCCUGACGGAGCAACGCCGCGUGAGUGAUGAAGGUCUUCGGAUCGUAAAACUCUGUUAUUAGGGAAGAACAUAUGUGNUAGUAACUGUGCACAUCUUGACGGUACCUAAUCAGAAAGCCACGGCUAACUACGUGCCAGCAGCCGCGGGUAUACGUANGUGGGCAGCGUUAUCCGGAAUUUAUGGGGCGUAAGCGCGCGUAGGCGGUUUUUUAGUCUGAUGUGAAAGCCCACGGCUCAACCGUGGAGGGUCAUUGGAAACUGGAAAACUUGAGUGCAGAAGAGGAAAGUGGAAUUCCAUGUGUAGCGGUGAAAUGCGCAGAGAUAUGGAGGAACACCAGUGGCGAAGGCGACUUUCUGGUCUGUAACUGACGCUGAUGUGCGAAAGCGUGGGGAUCAAACAGGAUUAGAUACCCUGGUAGUCCACGCCGUAAACGAUGAGUGCUAAGUGUUAGGGGGUUUCCGCCCCUUAGUGCUGCAGCUAACGCAUUAAGCACUCCGCCUGGGGAGUACGACCGCAAGGUUGAAACUCAAAGGAAUUGACGGGGACCCGCACAAGCGGUGGAGCAUGUGGUUUAAUUCGAAGCAACGCGAAGAACCUUACCAAAUCUUGACAUCCUUUGACAACUCUAGAGAUAGAGCCUUCCCCUUCGGGGGACAAAGUGACAGGUGGUGCAUGGUUGUCGUCAGCUCGUGUCGUGAGAUGUUGGGUUAAGUCCCGCAACGAGCGCAACCCUUAAGCUUAGUUGCCAUCAUUAAGUUGGGCACUCUAAGUUGACUGCCGGUGACAAACCGGAGGAAGGUGGGGAUGACGUCAAAUCAUCAUGCCCCUUAUGAUUUGGGCUACACACGUGCUACAAUGGACAAUACAAAGGGCAGCGAAACCGCGAGGUCAAGCAAAUCCCAUAAAGUUGUUCUCAGUUCGGAUUGUAGUCUGCAACUCGACUACAUGAAGCUGGAAUCGCUAGUAAUCGUAGAUCAGCAUGCUACGGUGAAUACGUUCCCGGGUCU